rnacentral:rRNA from 1 species
UACGGGGGGGGCAAGCGUUGUUCGGAAUUACUGGGCGUAAAGGGCUCGUAGGUGGUCAACUAAGUCGGACGUGAAAUCCCUCGGCUUAACCGGGGAACUGCGUCCGAUACUGGAUGACUUGAGUUCGGGAGAGGGAUGCGGAAUUCCAGGUGUAGCGGUGAAAUGCGUAGAUAUCUGGAGGAACACCGGUGGCGAAGGCGGCUACCUGGCCCAACAUUGACGCUGAGACCCGAAAGCGUGGGGAUCAAACAGG